GCCGGGCAUGGUGGUGCAUGCCUGUAAUCCCUGCUACUCAGGAGGCUGAGGUGGGAGAAUCGCUUAAACCCGGGAGGCGGAGGUUGCAGUGAGCCGAGUUUGCGCCACUGCACUCCAGCCUGGGUGACAGAGCGAGACUCCGUCUCAA
rnacentral:SRP_RNA from 1 species